rnacentral:rRNA from 1 species
AGCAGUAGCCGCGGUAAUACGGAGGGUGCAAGCGUUAAUUGGAAUUACUGGGCGUAAAGCGCACGCAGGCGGUCUGACAAGUCAGAUGUGAAAUCCCCGGGCUUAACCUGGGAACUGCAUUUGAAACUGUCAGGCUGGAGUCUUGUAGAGGGGGGUAGAAUUCCAGGUGUAGCGGUGAAAUGCGUAGAGAUCUGGAGGAAUACCGGUGGCGAAGGCGGCCCCCUGGACAAAGACUGACGCUCAGGUGCGAAAGCGUGGGGAGCAAACAGGAUUAGAUACCCGUGUAGUCCCUGUCUCUUAUAA